CACCCCAGGGAGAGAUCCUCAUGUGCUGACAGAGCUCACACCCGGUCAUCGCUUAUAGUCGCCUUGUGAAACUCGCAUGCAAAUCCCUGCCCCGGAGGGUUCCUGUUUAAAUACAAACCCCUGAUUGGAGGAGCCUCAGUCUCCCCUCAGACACAGAACUGCCCGGGCCUGGCUGCUGGGGACACUUUGCACCUUCACUUAAGAUGAACCUGCUGCUGAUUUUCCUGUUCAUGCUGGAGGCUCCUUCAGGUGUCCUCUCCCAAGUGCAGCUGCGGGAAACGGGCCCGGGAGCGGUAAAACCCGGGGAGUCCCUGACACUCACUUGUACCAUCUCCGGAGACUCGGUUUCUAGCGCCAGCGUCACCUGGACCUGGGUCCGGCAGCCCGCGGGGAAAGGGCUGGAAUGGGUGGGACGCAUUUACUACAGACCGAGUCAGUGGUACACUAACUACGCCGGCGCUCUGCAGAGCCGAGCGACCAUCACACAAGACACUUCCAAGAACCAGUUCUUCCUGCAGCUCCGCUCGCUGACAGCUGCGGACACCGCCACCUAUUACUGCGCCAGAGACACACAGUGACACAGAGCAGAGCAGGGACUGGCACAAAAAGGGGAAGCGGAUUCUGUCCACUUAAUUUUCACAAUUUGAACGGAAAGAGCUGAGAUUCUGCUCUCCCCCUUCGCCAUAACACUCCAUGUAAAUGGAAAGAAAAUGCAAAGGGGAGGCGGGAAAGAAUCUGAGCGAACUUUUUAUGUAUAUUUGGACCAAGGUGAUAUCACGAACAGGAGGAUCGUGAGCCUAGUGACACGCACCAACGCCCUGAUGGCAACAUUUACAAAAGUGCUAGCAGCGCUUGUCCAUCAAAAUGAAGUAUUCUGGAUCUUCCAAGGGCUUUUCGGGGAAACACACAAACAAAUCCAGUCCUUCCCCUCCGGAUGGGAAAGAGAAAUACGGAAAAUGAGGUUGACCUGGAAAGUUUUCAGGAGCACUUAUUUGAAUCGAGCUGCUGAGGAGGAUGAAGAUGUUGAUGAUAAUAAUAGUAGUAACAAAAUAAUAACAGAUGGUGUUCAGAUCGGAUGCUGUACUAACACCCAGGAAACAAACAACAGGAAAUUGCACAAGGAAAACGAGGAAGUGGAAGAGGGGUCUCUGAGUGGCUCAGAAUGACAGCAGGGUACAAUCAUUAACAAUAACUCAGGUGGCACCAAGGAUCAGAAAUGUAACGUAAGCUCCAUAAAAUCCCCUACAGUGCAUAUAGUGAUUGUGCUAUAAAUACAUAAAUCUCUACCGAACACAGGAUAGGAUGGCAGAGAAGCAGGGCCGGCUCUAGGUUUUUUGUCGCCCCAAGCAAAACAAUUUUUGAGCACACACACCCUUUUUCUUUGGCUUUUACACAUGUUUGCACAUCACCUAAUUUGCGUUGUUUUCCACUCUGCUCAUCAAUGGCUGCUGAUGGCUCUGUAACCUCAUUCCAAGGGCAUCUCUUGGACUCAAAAGAAAGACGGGGCU